rnacentral:rRNA from 1 species
GAUGAACGCUGGCAGCGUGCCUAAUACAUGCAAGUCGAGCGAAUGGAUUAAGAGCUUGCUCUUAUGAAGUUAGCGGCGGACGGGUGAGUAACACGUGGGUAACCUGCCCAUAAGACUGGGAUAACUCCGGGAAACCGGGGCUAAUACCGGAUAACAUUUUGAACCGCAUGGUUCGAAAUUGAAAGGCGGCUUCGGCUGUCACUUAUGGAUGGACCCGCGUCGCAUUAGCUAGUUGGUGAGGUAACGGCUCACCAAGGCAACGAUGCGUAGCCGACCUGAGAGGUUGAUCGGCCACACUGGGACUGAGACACGGCCCAGACUCCUACGGGAGGCAGCAGUAGGGAAUCUUCCGCAAUGGACGAAAGUCUGACGGAGCAACGCCGCGUGAGUGAUGAAGGCUUUCGGGUCGUAAAACUCUGUUGUUAGGGAAGAACCAGUGCUAGUUGAAUAAGCUGGCACCUUGACGGUACCUAACCAGAAAGCCACGGCUAACUACGUGCCAGCCGCCGCGGAAA